CCUACGGGGGGCAGCAGUAGGGAAUCUUGCGCAAUGGGCGAAAGCCUGACGCAGCAACGCCGCGUGAUUGAUUAAGCCCUUCGGGGUGUAAAGAUCUGUCAGUGGGGACGAAACUUUACGGUACCCACAGAGGAAGCACCGGCAAACUCCGUGCCAGCAGCCGCGGUAAUACGGAGGGUGCAAGCGUUGUCCGGAAACAUUGGGCGUAAAGAGUUCGUAGGUGGCAUAUUAAGUCUGGUGGUAAAUGCAGAAGCUCAACUUCUGUUCGGCACUGGAUACUGGUAAGCUUGAAUGCGGUAGAGGUAAAGGGAAUUCCUGGUGAAGCGGUGAAAUGCGUAGAUAUCAGGAAGAACAUCGAAGGCGUAGGCACUUUACUGGGCCGUAAUUGACACUGAGGAACGAAAGCCGGGGUAGCAAAUGGGAUUAGAUACCCUUGUAGUC
rnacentral:rRNA from 1 species